rnacentral:rRNA from 1 species
CCUACGGGUGGCAGCAGUGGGGAAUAUUGGACAAUGGGCGAAAGCCUGAUCCAGCCAUGCCGCGUGUGUGAAGAAGGCCUUCGGGUUGUAAAGCACUUUCAGUGGGGAAGAAAGCCUUGGGGCUAAUACCCUCGAGGAAGGACAUCACCCACAGAAGAAGCACCGGCUAACUCCGUGCCAGCAGCCGCGGUAAUACGGAGGGUGCGAGCGUUAAUCGGAAUUACUGGGCGUAAAGCGCGCGUAGGCGGUCUGAUAAGCCGGUUGUGAAAGCCCCGGGCUCAACCUGGGAACGGCAUCCGGAACUGUCAGGCUAGAGUGCAGGAGAGGAAGGUAGAAUUCCCGGUGUAGCGGUGAAAUGCGUAGAGAUCGGGAGGAAUACCAGUGGCGAAGGCGGCCUUCUGGACUGACACUGACGCUGAGGUGCGAAAGCGUGGGUAGCAAGCAGGAUUAGAUACCCGGGUAGUC